AACAGGAGGAGAUGGGCUCAGAGACAGGCACGAUUUAUCAUAAAAUCUCAUCACACUUUCCCUCACCAUCUGGAAGCUGGAGAUAGGUUUGUGAAAUCUUGAUUGAGAAGAGUUAAAUGCCACUUGUAGAAUAAUAAGUUUAAGAAAGAUGGUUUUGGCUGGGCAUGGUGGCUCACGCCUGUAAGCCCAGCACUUUGGGAGGCUGAGGCAGGGGGAUCAUGAGGUCAGAUCGAGACCAUCCUGGCUAACGCGGUGAAACUCUGUCUCUACUAAAAAUACAAAAAAUUAGCCAGGCGUGGUGGACACCUGUAGUCCCAGGUACUCGGGAGGCUGAGGCAGGAGAAUGGCAUGAACCCAGGAGGCAGAGCUCGCAGUGAGCCGAGAUUGCGCCACUGCACUUCAGCCUGGGCAACAGAGCCAGACUCUGCCUCAAAAAAAAAAAAAAAAAAAAAAAAAAAAAAAAAAAAAGAUAGAUGGUUUUACUCGCCAGUUCUGCUGCACAGAGUCCUGCACGUUUUGGCAGUUAACAUAUGUGAUCGACAGUUAUCAUGGUUCUAGAAGAAAUUAUUUUCCAGUUGUAUUCUGCUGCUAAAGUGCUAUAUUUCUUUAUAGAUGAACUAAUUAAUUCUUGGUCACUUGUUUUUCAUCAGAUAUUUCUCUGCCUCUUUAUGCUGUGCUUUGUCUUUUUAUGUCCAGCCCCAGGUUUCUUCUUCUAAUUGCAGGAAGAUCAUUGAAAUUUUCUCUCUCUCUCAAACUCCUGGGCUCAAGUGAUCCUCCUUCAUCUGCCUCCUGAGUAGCUGGCAUUACAGGUGUGCACCGCUGAACAGAUACACACAUAUACAGCCAUACUUACAGACAAACAUCCACAUAUAUACACAAACGCACAGAGACAUACACAUAUCCACACAUACUCAUUAGAUGUACAUUUACACACACAAACACACAUGUGCACACACACACACAUAUACACACCUUGUUUCCAUCUUCUCAGGACUCAGGGCUCUCAGAGAGUGGAAAGAGUCUUGUACCAUGAGUCCAGGAUCGACUGUGCAACCUUGCCCCAGCGUCUUCCCUCUUGAGAUCUUGUUUAUAAUAAUAUCCUUACCCACCAAUUAGGGUUAUUUUGAAGACAAAACAGAAAGGAUAACAGAGUGAUGGCAAUGUUGUAUAGUUUCAAAUAAAAAUUAACGUUGACCAAAAAGAGGUCUGACCUUUGUCCUAGACUCCUGGGAGGUAAUCUUCGACACAUAAUGCCUAAUAGGAGUAUCUUUGCCUGGGGAUCUUGGAUCAUAAUGGAUAGUCUAAUAAUGAGAUUUAGGGUGGGGUCUAGCCAGGCCAGGAAAUCCGACUAAGAGAUUUAGAGUCUGGGCUUUAGGUCACCCCUGGAAGGACUGGAAACUGAAAACUGAGAGGAUCCACAUGGACAAUCAAGCAUGCCUCUGUGAUGAAGUUCCAGUAAAAACCCUGAACACUGAGGCUUGAGGGAGUCUCUCUGGCUGGGAAUACUCCAUGUGUAUUGGCACAUAUCAAAGCCGGAAGGGUAAUGCACUGCCAGACUGAGAAGACUACAAUAAAUACCUAACUCUUCAAUGCUCAGGCAUUGAAUAUCCACAAGCAUCAAGACCAUCCAGGAAAACAUGACCUCACCAAACAACCUAAUUAAAGCACCAGGGACCAAUCAUAGAAAAACAGAGAUAUGUGACCUUCCAGACAGAGAAUUCAAAAUAGUGGUUUCAGGGAAACUCAAAGAAAUUAAAGAUAGCACAGAGAAAGAAUUUGGAAUUCUAUCAGAUAAAUUUAACAAUGAGAUUGAAGUAAUUAAAAAGAAUCAAGCAGAAAUUCUGGGGAUAAAAAUGCAGUUGACAUAAUAAUGCAUCAGAGUCUCUUAAUAGUGGAAUCAAUUAAGCAGAAGAAAAAAUUAGUGAGCUUGAAGACAAACAAUUUGAAAGUACACAAUUAGAGGAGACAAAAAAAUUUUAAACAAUGAAGCACGCCCACAAGAUCUAGAAAUAGCCUCAAAAAGGCAAAGCCAAGAGUUAUUGGCCUUAAAGAGGAAGUAGAGAAAUAGACAGAGGUAGAACAUUUAUUCAAAAGGAUAAUAAUGGAGAACUUCCCAAACCUACAGAAAGCUAUAAAUAUUCAAGUCAAGAAGGUUAUAGGACACCAAGCAGAUUUAACCCAAAGAAGACUAGCUGAAGGCAUUUAAUAUUCAAACUUCCAAAGGUCAAGGAUAAAGAAAUGAUCCUAAAGCAGCAAGAGAAAAGGAACAAAUAACAUACAAUGGAGCUCUAAUAUAUCUGGCAGCAGACUUUCAGUGGAAACCUUACAGGCCAGGAGAGAGUGCUAUGAUAUACGUGAUGGGCUGAAGGGAAAAAAAAAAAAAACUUUUACCCUAGAAUAAUAUAUCCAGCGAAAAUAUCCUUCAAACAUGAAGGAGAAAUAAACUUUCCCAGACAAAAACAAAAGCUGAGGGAUUUCACCAGCAGACCUAUCCUACAAGAAAUGCUAAAGGAAGGUCUUCAAUCAGAAACAAAAGGACAUUAAUGAGGAAUAAGACAUCAUCUGAAGGUACAAAACUCACUGGUAAUAGUAAGUACACAGAAAAACACAGAGUAUUAUAACACUGUAAUUGUGGUGUGCAAACAGCUCUUAAGUAGAAAGACUGAAAGAUGAGGCCAGGCACAGUGGCUCAUGCCUGUAAUCCCAGCACUUUGGGAGGCUGAGGUGGGUGGAUCACGAGGUCAGGUGAUCGAGACCAUCUUGGCUAAUAUGGUGAAACCCCAUCUCUACUAAAAAUACAAAAAAAAAAAAAAAAAAAUAGCUGGGCAUUGUCAUGGCAUGCGCCUGUAGUCUCAGCUACCUGGGAGGCUGAGGCAGGAGAAUCACUUGAACCCAGGAGGUAGAGGUUGCAGUGAGCCGAGAUGGUGCCACUGCACUCCAGCCUAGGUGACAGAGCAAGACUCUGUCUCAAAAAAACAACAAAAACUAAAAGAUGAACCAAACAAAAACAAUAACUACAACAACUUUUCAAGACACAGACAGUACAAUAAGAUAUAACUAGAAACAACAACAAGUUAAAAAGCAGAGGGACAAAUUUAAAGUGUAGAGUUUUGGUAAGUUUUCUUUUUGCUUGUUUGUUUGUUCCUUUAUGCAAGCAGCGUAAAGUUAUCAGUUUAAAACAAUGGGUGAUAAGAUAGUACUGCAAGCCUUGUGGUAACCUCAAAAAAAAAAAAAAAAUACGCAAUGAAUACACAAAAAAACCAAAAGCAAGAGGUUAAAUCAUACCACCAGAGAAAAUCACCUUCACCAAAAGGACGAUAGGAAGGAGGAAAGAAGAAAGAGAAAACCACAACCACCAGAAAACAAAUAACAAAAUGGCAAGAGUAAGUCCUUACUGAUCAAUAAUCACCUUGAAUGUUAAUGGACUAAACUCUCCAAUCAAAACUGUUAUGGAAAGAACUGUUAUGGAGCAGUUCUCCCCGUCCCCACCCACAUCAUUUUUCAUCAACUCUAGAUGAGCUAAGGGCCCCCAAAUGCCUUAGGCUUAGCAUUCCUUGGGGCGAAGUCCCUUCUUGCUCAGAGUCUAAAAGACAAGUAGUGACACUGUUUCUGCCUGAUAGGCCUUCAGUCUCCAGAGUGGAGAAUCUGCCUUUGUGUGAGGUCUUAGUAAGAAAAGCUAGGAGCCAGAUCAUAUCCUCUCUCACCCUGCUGCAUCCAGGGAGUGUGCAUGUGACUUACUCAGCCAACCCAAUGCUGUUUCCUUGCACGUGGAAAUUUGAGUGAGAAAGGAUAGUUGACACUGGCAAGGACCAGCUUCCCAGAAUCAGACACAGAGGAGAUGGCUUCUCUAGGACUCUCCAGUAACAAGCUAGUGCCAGUUCUUGUGGUGAAGGGUUGACAUAGUUUAGGAACAGAGAGGUAAAUGAACUCAUGGACUGCUGGAAAGUUUUAGCUGUGCAUCCCCAUCCUCCCCUGCAUCUUUUCCCUUUUGCAUACAUUUCCAUUCCUGGUAAGGAUGGACACGUCGGGAAACCCAUCUUUGUUAAUAUAAUGUCAUCCCAAAAAAAUCACUGGAGGGGUUGUGGCCUGGAGUUCUGCAUCCGGGGGCUUAGUGCAGAUUUCUCAGGCUGGCCUGAAGGUGGUGCUGUUUGCAUGUGGUCAGUCUGGACUGAUAAAGAUACUAUCAGGGUAUUGGAUAAGAUUCACUAGAUAAACUUAACUUUGCAUUUCUGUAUCUGGAUUAAAGAGGUUAAUUAGUGAAAACCACGUGAAUUUCACUUCAUUGGAGUGGGCAGAGGAUUUUCUAACACAAAACUCAGAUGUUAUAAAAAGACAAGAUUAACAAAUUUGAUUGCAUAAAAACUUCCAAUUUCUAUAGCAGAAAACAGCAAACUGAGAAAUAGUAACAACUAUUGUGACAAAGAGAUAAUUUUCUUAAUAUACAAAGAGCUCUUACAAAUAAAUCCAAUUAAAAAUGGGAAAAGGACCGGGCACGGUGGCUCAUGCCUCCCAGCAGUCUGGACCAAAGUAAAUGUGAGAUGCAAGUGGGGCAGCAAGGAAUGGUGGACACAGACAUUGCCUGUGUCUCCUCUGCUCACACGCAGGCUCCUUUGUCCCAUCAGACCUUGCUUACUGGCCGGGUGCGGUAACUCACACCUGUAAUCCCAGCACUUUGGGAGGCUGAGGUGAGUGCAUCACUUGAGAUCAGGAGUUGGAGACCAGCCUGGCCAACAUGGUGAGACCCCUUCUCUACUGAAAAUACAAAAAUUAGCUGGGUGUGGUGGCAGAUGCCUGUAAUCCCAGCUAUUCAGGAGCCUGAGGCAGGAGAAUUGCUUGAACCCGGGAGGCAGAGGCUGCAGUGAGCCAAGAUCGUGCCACUGUACUCCAGCCUGGGCAACAAAAGCAAAAAAAACUCCGUCUCAAAAAAAAAAAAAAAAUAGAAUAUGGCAACAGCAGAGCAUUGUACACCUGCCCCACUUCUCCCCACUCUCCAUUGCUUUUUCCUAGGCAACCACCUUCAAACUUAACACUGUUAGCUUUUUCUUGUAUUUAUUUUCCUAUUUCCAAAAAGCAUUGCUAGACUCUCAUUUAUUGAUUUUCCAGUUUAGAUAUUAUCUGGAAGGUUGGGAUUUAGCACCCUUGCAUCACUUCCUGUAUGUGCAUUUGUCCCCUCACCUUUCAUCCCAAUUUUGUGUUAACAUAUUUGGAUUAAGUCCACAUUCCACGUUUUCAUUAUUAUGGCUGUAAAUCUUGAUGGCUGAACUAAGUGUUGUAAUAAGAUGGCAUUUCUGUUUUUUGUUUGUUU
rnacentral:lncRNA from 10 species